AACUUAUCAAGAGUGGAUAAGAGAACUGGCUCAAUGAUUCCACAGCAACCUGCGUAUGCAAGGUGCUACUACCAGCAAAGCAAACGCUUUGAGUGAUAAAUG
rnacentral:ncRNA from 2 species